rnacentral:lncRNA from 1 species
GUAUAUAUUUUUUUAAUUAAUCUUAAUUUCGAUAAUGAUUUUCGUAUAUUGGCACUCAAGCGUAACAUCUCAAUCAAAAGUCUGGCGCACAUCUCUCGCGUUGACUUGUCGUCAUUGUCGUAUUUACAUAUGAAAGCUUUUCUAUGGAAGCACAGACAAUAAACGCAGGCAUCUGACUUGAUUCAGUGGAAGUAUUUUUCCGCAUUGUACAUACCGUAUUGACAAACCGGAUUUAAAGAGACGAUAUGGUAUUUUACCCGGUCCUUUUAUUUGUCAGGCACCGACAUAAAAUGCGAACGGCACUGGAAUGCAGGUGCAUCUUCGGUGUAUACGUAUCGAAGCAGGUAGGAUAUUUUCGAAGAUUGCCUCUACCGAUGAACAAGCGUAAAGAAGUUACACCUGCCGCGCAGUACAGUCCGCAAAGUCGACGGACGCCAAUUAUUUAUUUCUCAAGGAAAAAUUAUCGAAAAAUCGAUGAGAAUUGGCGAAUAAUAAGAUAAACAGGUGUUCGGGAAAUUGUUGCACCAGGUAACACUAUGUAGCAAAGGAACCGAAGUGUGGAGUGAGAAAAACGAAGAAAAAAAUUCGAUUAUCGUCGUUCAACGCAGAACUAUCUGGAAUAUGAAGUAUAUUUAAAAUACGGCAGAAAAUAUUGAUCAUAAAACAGUGAUGAUAACAACAAGAGUGCAAGAAAAUUCUAGGAAAAAAAAAAACAUUAGUUUACUUAUAAUUGAACUACGCAAAUGUUAAAAAGUCGAGUGGCUACGGCACUGGGCAUCCUGUGAAAUGCGGCCCCGCGGCAAGAAAAACGGGGACCCGGCGCAGCGGCAAUCGUCCAACGAGUGAGCCAGGGCAUUGCCAGCGCGGAGUGCA